UACCAGCACCCCGAGUGGUCGGGACGAUUAUUGGGCCUAAAGCAUCCGUAGCCGGCCUUACAAGUCCUCCGUUAAAUCCAGCUGCUUAACAGAUGGGCUGCGGAGGAUACUAUAAGACUAGGAGGCAGGAGAGGCAAGCGGUACUCAGUGGGUAGGGGUAAAAUCCGUUGAUCCAUUGAAGACCACCAGUGGCGAAGGCGGCUUGCCAGAACGCGCUCGACGGUGAGGGAGUGAAAGCUGGGGGGAGCAAACCGG
rnacentral:rRNA from 1 species